AAUUCUUGGGCAGGGAUCAAGCUGUCUGCCACCAGCAGGGAGAGCUCCUGGAAGCAGGGGAGGAAAUCCUGGAAGAAGAUGUGGGCCAGACAGCCCACCGCACGAAUAAACCCACUAGUGCCUUGCUCCCAGUGCCUCCCAGGUGGUGGCAACAUGGAGAAACCAUGGGGCCUGAUUUCCAGGCAGUUCCUCGGAGCGAUGAACCAGAGACCGGGUGGCUGAACGAGAAGAUCCUAGGAGGGUCCAAGACGAGGUCCAGCAGAGGCACCUAGGAACCAUCAGUGACGGCAGCAGGCCGGGCCACGUGACUGCAGUCAGCCACUUCCUUGAGACCCAGGAUUGCUUACUGGUUUUGUAUUAUCUGUGGAUCUGUGCCCCUCGAGUCCCCUUAAAAUGUCAGCAAAUCCCACAGAGACAAUCUGAAGCGAGACAAGGGUUAAGAAGAGUCUUCAUGAAGUGUUGCUUUUAGAAAUUCUGGCCAGCUUAACCCACAGGGAGCUCACCGAGCCUGGGCUCUUCUGAGUCUUCUGCGAAAAUGUUUUACCCAAACAGACUCUUCCCAUUAAACGGGAUCAAACCAAGUGGUCGUUUGCCAGUGUGCUGCCUACAUCGUUGACACCUUCCCUCUGAGCUGUGUGACACCAGCCCCUCCCUCCAGCGAGCAGGGCAGGAAAAAAGCUACAAAGCACUGACCGAAUGAAUCCUGCUGGGCAAGCGCCAGGCAACCAAGAGCACUGCAUUUUGGAUGCAAGGCUCUAGUUGGUAGGUGAGAACCCUGGAACCAGAAGUAGGCUGGGAAUGCAUGGAUAUUGGGAACUUCACCAGGAAUUCCUCAAGACUUUCUACACCAUGUAAGAGAUAUAUUUUAUGUGUGAUCCCGUACACAUACAGCUGCAAGUGGACACAGAUACUAACAUACAACAGAAACCAGCUCCUAGAACUCACCCUGCUAACUCUGCUUGCCAAGGAAUAUCCAUUUAAAAACCAUUUCUUGAAUGAACCAAGCAAAACCAAACCCUAGUGAGACAAUACAUUCACCAGGUGCAAUGCACUCUGAUAUUUUCUAUUCUAUUUCUAUUCUUCAUUUCUUAAAAAAGGUAACAAUUUGCAACCCACUAAAGUAAUGUUGCCACGGAGAGGCCCCUGUUUUGGAAGGACCGUUAUGCACUGCCUGCCCCCUCUCUGAAGAUUACAGAAACUUGUCAUGUGGGAAGCCGGGGACUGGUGGCAUUGGAGGCAAGCAGGAUGACACUGGGAUAUAACCAGGUGGGGAGAGGAAGCCUGUUGGGUGAAGCCAUGGGGGAGCCACACUGCUGGCUAAGGGCCAAGGCGCUGCUCUCUGGCUGAGGACUAAGUUCCAACUCCCCUCUUCCAGUCCACACACUGCCACUGUCCCCACACAGGAAACUGUCUUCACACCCAGGAAGAGUUUGCAAAUGGAGUCAGGCUGGCAAUUGCUCCACUUAGGUAUCACUCGAAGGACCAGGAGUGGGGAAAUGAGGGUUGUUUAAGCUGCUGUGAAAAUCAUGGAGUAACCUGGUAAAUGAAAAAUCCACUCUGACCCACAAGAAGCACUAAAGUGAGGAAUUAAACAACUUUGUAAAUAAAGGGAUCAUUACUCUUGAAGCAUUAAUACACGCAUAAGACCUAUUGAAAACAUCCCAUUUCAAGAUAAAUGAAGAGCAUUAGCUGCUCAUUUCCCAAUCUGGAUGGGCUGUUUUCACAGCCCAGCACUGGGGGUCUGAGGCCUGGGUCAGCAGGGGCUGGCUCAGGUGGCUUGCUAGUGGGGCUGCACAGGGACUCAGGAGGGGACCGUUUCUGCAUUUCUGCUACAGUGAAGGUUGUAAUCACAGCCCUGCUUUUCACUAAGGGGAGGUGCCCACUGCACACCUGAUGAAGUCGGGAGGAAAGUUCUAGACCAGUGCAUUUGCCUCCUCCAAGUUUCAUCAUCAUUCACCAAAUAAGCAUAAUUGCUCCGUGUUUAAGAGGUGCUGGGAACAGGGGCGCUGCCUGUAAUUGCCUAAUGGGCGGGCGAAAUGAGGUGUGAGGCACAUUGGUGUGAAAAAAGCAAUAGCCACAAGUUUAUUAACAUUGAAAAUUAAAAUAAGCUCAGCCCCAGCCAGGCAGUCCUUGCUGAAAUGAAUCCCAUUAUCCCUCUAAUAACUGCACAGGGCUCAAUUGGAUGCCCCCCAGGAGAGGAAACACAAACAGCCCUGCCUCCCCUGCAGCUCCUCCAGCUCCACUUAAAUCCACGGGCAGGUGCUUGGGGAGCUGUGAAGGGGGAGCCUGGAGAGAAUUACAUGCAAUUCUGACCUGGGUGCCUUUUUGAAUAGUUGCUGAUUGGAAUUUUCAAAAGCAAGCUGUAAGGUUCUGGAACUGACUGUCACCAGGUCCAUGUGAAGGAGGUCAGGAGCCCUGACUGGGGCUCAGCAACCAGCCCUGCCUUCUUUUUUGCACCUUGAUCAUGUAAUCAAAUAUUUCUAGAUGCCCAGGGCUAGGAGGAGAGUUGCCCUUGACCUUGAGCAGAUUCAAUCAAUGUAGGAAACAAGGCUCUCCUGGGGAGAAUAAUCAGAAAGCAAUCAGUGAAUGCUGCAGCCCAGAGCCUAAUGAAAAUGCAUCCAGCCUCUCAUUUCUUGGCGUUGACCUCCCUGCUCAACAGAGGGCACCCCAAUGCCUGUGCUAGAUCAGCCCCCUCCCCGACUCAAGGUCUCUCCUCUACAACUUGUUCCUUCUGGCUCCUGACAGCAUGCAAACCUGCAGCGAUUUUUCUCUUGCUAAAGAAACAAAAACUAAAACUAAACCUCUCUUGCCCUCGAAUUUCCGUUCCUGUCCCAUUUCUCUGCUCCCCUUCACAGGAUGGUUCCUCAAAAAAGCCGUCUGCACUGAUACCCUGCGCCGCCUCUCCCCCCAUCCCCCCCUGAGGGCGCCCCAGUCAGGCUUGGCCCCACUCCUUCACCACACGGUUCUUGUCACCAGUGACCAAAUGCUGCCACAUGCAAUGAGCAACCCCUUCAUCCUCAUCCUAUUCAAGCUCCUGGCAGCUUUCUUCACAUGGCUCCCAGGAUACUGCUUCUUCUCAGUCUCCAGCUGGUUUCUUCCCAUUUUUUUGCAACCUCUAAAUAUUAGAGUGUCCUAAAGGCUGGUCUUUGGACCUCUUCUCUCUCUAAACUAGUUGGCCUCAUCCAGCCUCUUUACGGCUGUAAACACCAGUUCUUUGCUAACAAGUCCCAGAUUUAUAUCUCCAGUGUGGACCACCCCAGGCUCCACAGACAUCUCUACUGGAUGUCUAACAGGCAUCUCAAAUUUCAUAUCUCCAAAAACGAACUCCUGCUUCCUGCCCCACCUCCCACUCCUGCGUGACCCACACAUGCAUCACCUCCUCUUCCCGCAACCGUCUCAGGGCAUGUCCUUUGCUUGGGACCAAAAUCUUAGUCCCCUGGACCCUUUCACAUCCCCACUUUCUGAUCCAUCAGCAAAUCUGUUUUCAACCUCUGUCCAGACUCUGACCACUUCUCACCACCUCCACUGCACCGUCCCGCUCCAAACCACCAUCCUGUGCCAGGGUGAUGGCAACAGCCGCCUAGCUGGUCUCCCUGCCUCCCCGCUUGCCCCCAAAUCAGCAGUGCUCAACACAGCAGGGACCCUUUUAAAGUAAAUGCAAACCAUGUCACUUCUCUGUUCAAAGCCUUCUAACGACCUCGCAGGUCACUCAGAAUGAAGUCCAACAUUCUCGCAAUGGCCUGAAAAGUCCCACACUCUCGGGCCCCAGCUCCUUCUCUGUCUGCGCCCGCCCUCUCUUGCUCUGCUCAACACGCUGGCCCCUUGCUGUUUCUCAAACACGCCUCAGAUGCUCCCUCCUCACCUUUUUACCUACGGCUCCUUCAGUCUGAAACUGAAUUCUCCAGAUAGUCACAUGGCCCACGUCCUCCAGCUCCCCCAGAGCUGGUCGGUGUCACCUCCCCAGUGAAGUCUUUCCUGACCAUCCUACCUAAGAUGCAUACACAGUGCCCUCUGGUUCGCCUCUUCUGUUUAACUCUUCUCCAUUCAGCCUGUCACCGCCUGUUAAACCACGCUGUACUUGUCACUCAUUCAUCAUCUCUCCUUGAGAAUAUAAGUUUAUUUGGGGCAGGAGCUAUGUCAGAGCCUAAUCUGUAGCAAGAGCUCAGGAAACACGAGCUGAGUGGACAAUGUUUAUUUAAACCCUCUCUUUUAAGCACCUGCCAUGUACGAGGAAGGACACGUCCCUCUGCUCUAGCCAGCCUUUGCCCCAUGGCUCAACAUCCAAGGCCUGACAACUCCCAUGAAUGCCACAAAAAGCACCUUGAACACGGGGUGUUGCUGGCCUCCCCUUUCACCCAUGCCCACACCCUUCAGGAUUACCAAGGUGAGUUUAUUCCCGUCCUCUGUUCCCUCGCCUAGGAAAUUAGUUUUCUGCUGCCAGCUGCUGCCUGGUUGCCUCUCUCCAAAACAAAAGUAAUUGACCAUAACCCACAGUUUCCUUCCAUUAAGCUAAAGAAGCUGUGGCCGGGAUGUCAAGUUUCAGCUUUUCCAUUUACUUACUAUGGGAUUUUGCCCAAGUUUCUGAAUCCCCUGAUUCUCAGUUUUCUUAAAAAUAGUAUGGGAAAAGUAAAGCUAACUGCCAGAGUUAUUGCGGGAUUAAAUAAAAUGGAGAAUAGAUAAUACUUGGCACAUAGUACUUGCUCACUAAAUGUUGGUUGUCUUUCUCUUCCCACUGGAAGGUGAUCCUAGAACUCCUCUGAAAUCACAAUUUCUAACCCAGGACCUGACCACAGCCCUCCAGAUGGAGAUGCUUGAUGGAGACCAGCAGUGUCUGUCCGAGCCCCCUUCCCCUCCCCCCUCCCCCUUCCCCCUCUUCCUUCACCCUAGCCCACAGAGGGACAGGCUGCCCUUGGCACCCCUCUUGCAUUUAUGGCAGUCCUUCUCCGUCCUGCAAGGGCGGUGAACUGAAUUCAGAAAAAUGACAGGUCGUUACAAAUAUAUUGCAUGCUGUAAAAUAAAAGAAUGUCCUUGUUAGAAAGCCAAAUGACUUACUUUGGGAAUAACUUUAAAUGAUAGGCAUAAGACAGUGCAAAUGCAGCAUGCACGUGUUACACUUUGCUAUAGUCCGUUAAAUAUACAUGUGGGGCUCCCG
rnacentral:lncRNA from 1 species